AUGCGCCGGGAGCUGGGCGCGCACGGGCUGGAGCGCCGGGCGAGGCCCCCGGAAUCGGCCCAGGCGGCGGCAGGAGCAGAGGAGCCCAGGUGGGGCGCGGCGCUCUCCCCGCGCAGGAUUGUGGUAACUGUGACUUAUGAUAAGAAAUACACUGUAUUUGGUCUUGUCCCUGUUUUCUGGCAUACAGCUCCUAUCUGCCUUGGAAUCUCCAAAAUGUGCCUGGUUCUGGAUCCUGGUAGCACCUUCAUCUGUGCUUGUGGCCAAGAAUGGGCAUUGCUGCUACAGUCAUGGCCCUGCCCUGCACACAUGGAUCUACCUUCUCUUCUUUGUGGCCUACCUUCCUGGCUCGGGGAGGCCGCUUCGGCUUGGAUUCCAGGUGGAAAAUGGAUGCUCCCCUUGAAGACUGCUUUUCUGUGUAGCAGAGAGCACAUUAUUUAUACUAACAGUAAAUCCAUGGAUUCUGUCUUCUAA
rnacentral:lncRNA from 1 species